rnacentral:rRNA from 1 species
AGUGAACGCUGGCGGUAGGCCUAACACAUGCAAGUCGAACGGCAGCACAGUAAGAUCUUGCUCUUACGGGUGGCGAGUGGCGGACGGGUGAGGAAUACAUCGGAAUCUACUUUUUCGUGGGGGAUAACGUAGGGAAACUUACGCUAAUACCGCAUACGACCUACGGGUGAAAGCAGGGGAUCUUCGGACCUUGCGCGGUUGAAUGAGCCGAUGUCGGAUUAGCUAGUUGGCGGGGUAAAGGCCCACCAAGGCGACGAUCCGUAGCUGGUCUGAGAGGAUGAUAAGCCACACUGGAACUGAGACAGGGUCCAGACGCCUACGGGAGGCAGCAGUGGGGAAUAUUGGACAAUGGGCGCAAGCCUGAUCCAGCCAUACCGCGUGGGUGAAGAAGGCCUUCGGGUUGUAAAGCCCUUUUGUUGGGAAAGAAAAGCAGCAGGUUAAUACCCCGCUGUUCUGACGGUACCCAAAGAAUAAGCACCGGCUAACUUCGUG